UGGGGAAUUUUGCGCAAUGGGGGAAACCCUGACGCAGCGACACCGCGUGAGCGAAGAAGCCCUUUGGGGUGUAAAGCUCUGUCGGCUGGGACGAAAAAAAUGACGGUACCAGCAAAGGAAGCAUCGGCUAACUACGUGCCAGCAGCCGCGGUAAGACGUAGGAUGCGAGCGUUGUCCGGAUUCAUUGGGCGUAAAGAGUUCGUAGGCGGUUUGUUAAGUUCGGAGUUAAAGAUCAGGGCUCAACCCUGGGACUGCUUUGAAUACUGGCAGACUGGAGUGCAGUAGAGGCGAGUGGAAUUCCUAGUGUAGCGGUGAAAUGCGUAGAUAUUAGGAAGAACACCAGAGGCGUAGGCGACUCGCUGGGCUGUAACUGACGCUGAGGAACGAAAGCCAGGGGAGCAAAUGGGAUUAGAUACCCCUGUAGUCC
rnacentral:rRNA from 1 species